GGUGAACGCUGGCGGCGUGCUUAAGACAUGCAAGUCGCACGGCAGUCUUCGGACUGUAGUGGCGCACGGGUGAGUAACGCGUAACUGACCUACCCCAAAGUCGCGGAUAACGAUUCGAAAGAAUCGCUAAUACGUGAUGUGCUGUCAGAUUGUGUUCUGCCAGUAAAAAUUGAUUGCUUUGGGAUGGGGUUGCGUUCCAUCAGCUAGUUGGUGGGGUAAAGGCCCACCAAGGCGACGACGGAUAGCCGGCCUGAGAGGGUGGCCGGCCACAGGGGCACUGAGACACGGGUCCCACUCCUACGGGAGGCAGCAGUUAGGAAUCUUCCACAAUGGGCGAAAGCCUGAUGGAGCGACGCCGCGUGAGGGAUGAAGGUCUUCGGAUCGUAAACCUCUGAAUCAGGGACGAAAGACACUUCGGUGGGAUGACGGUACCUGAGUAAUAGCACCGGCUAACUCCGUGCCAGCCGCCGCAGUAAGAC
rnacentral:rRNA from 1 species